rnacentral:rRNA from 1 species
UGAGUGCUUUGGGGUGGGGUGACUGCGUACCUUUUGUAUAAUGGGUCAGCGACUUAUAUUCUGUAGCAAGGUUAACCGUAUAGGGGAGCCGAAGGGAAACCGAGUCUUAACUGGGCGUUAAGUUGCAGGGUAUAGACCCGAAACCCGGUGAUCUAGCCAUGGGCAGGUUGAAGGUUGGGUAACACUAACUGGAGGACCGAACCGACUAAUGUUGAAAAAUUAGCGGAUGACUUGUGGCUGGGGGUGAAAGGCCAAUCAAACCGGGAGAUAGCUGGUUCUCCCCGAAAGCUAUUUAGGUAGCGCCUCGUGAACUCAUCUUCGGGGGUAGAGCACUGUUUCGGCUAGGGGGUCAUCCCGACUUACCAACCCGAUGCAAACUGCGAAUACCGAAGAAUGUUAUCACGGGAGACACACGGCGGGUGCUAACGUCCGUCGUGAAGAGGGAAACAACCCAGACCGCCAGCUAAGGUCCCAAAGUCACAGUUAAGUGGGAAACGAUGUGGGAAGGCUCAGACAGCCAGGAUGUUGGCUUAGAAGCAGCCAUCAUUUAAAGAAAGCGUAAUAGCUCACUGGUCGAGUCGGCCUGCGCGGAAGAUGUAACGGGGCUAAACUGUGCACCGAAGCUGCGGCAGCGACGCUUAUGCGUUGUUGGGUAGGGGAGCGUUCUGUAAGCCUGCGAAGGUGUCCUGUGAGGGAUGCUGGAGGUAUCAGAAGUGCGAAUGCUGACAUAAGUAACGAUAA